CCUACGGGAGGCAGCAGUGGGGAAUAUUGGACAAUGGGGGCAACCCUGAUCCAGCCAUGCCGCGUGUGUGAAGAAGGCCCUCGGGUUGUAAAGCACUUUCAGUGAGGAAGAACGCCUGGUGGUUAAUACCCAUCAGGAAAGACAUCACUCACAGAAGAAGCACCGGCUAACUCCGUGCCAGCAGCCGCGGUAAUACGGAGGGUGCGAGCGUUAAUCGGAAUUACUGGGCGUAAAGCGCGCGUAGGUGGCUUGAUAAGCCGGUUGUGAAAGCCACGGGCUCAACCUGGGAACGGCAUCCGGAACUGUCAAGCUAGAGUGCAGGAGAGGAAGGUAGAAUUCCCGGUGUAGCGGUGAAAUGCGUAGAGAUCGGGAGGAAUACCAGUGGCGAAGGCGGCCUUCUGGACUGACACUGACACUGAGGUGCGAAAGCGUGGGUAGCAAACAGGAUUAGAUACCCUUGUAGUC
rnacentral:rRNA from 1 species